rnacentral:rRNA from 1 species
GUGCCAGCCGCCGCGGUAAGACAGAGGAUGCAAACGUUGCUCGGAAUUACUGGGCGUAAAGCGCGUGUAGGCGGUUUCGCACGUCCGGUGUGAAAGCCCAGGGCUCAACCCUGGAAGUGCACUGGAUACGACGAAGCUGGAGUACUGAAGAGGAGAGCGGAAUUCCUGGUGUAGAGGUGAAAUUCGUAGAUAUCAGGAGGAACAUCAGUGGCGAAGGCGGCUCUCUGGGCAGAUACUGACGCUGAGACGCGAAAGCAUGGGGAGCAAACAGGAUUAGAAACCCGCGUAGUCC